AUCGUGCGAAGAGUGUAAAGGCAGAAGGAAGCUUGACUGCGAGAAAGACAAUUCGAGCAGGAACGAAAGUUGGACUUAGUGAUCCGGUGGUACCGAGUGGAAGGGCCAUCGCUCAACGGAUAAAAGCUACCCCGGGGAUAACAGGCUUAUCUCCCCCAAGAGUUCACAUCGACGGGGAGGUUUGGCACCUCGAUGUCGGCUCAUCACAUCCUGGGGCUGAAGCAGGUCCCAAGGGUUGGGCUGUUCGCCCAUUAAAGAGGCACGCGAGCUGGGUUCAGAACGUCGUGAGACAGUUCGGUCCCUAUCCGUCGUGGGCGUAGGAAAUUUGAGAGGAGCUGUCCUUAGUACGAGAGGACCGGGAUGGACAAACCUCUGGUGAAUCAGUUGUACUGCCAAGUGCAAAGCUGAGUAGCUAAGUUUGGAAGGGAUAAGAGCUGAAGGCAUCUAAGCACGAAGCCCCCCUCAAGAUGAGAUUUCCCAUCGCAAGAAUAAGGCACCAGAAAGACAAUCUGGUAGAUAGGCCAAGAGUGUAAGGUCAGCAAUGACUUAAGCUAAGUGGUACUAAUAUGCCGAAGACUUGACCUAA
rnacentral:rRNA from 1 species